ACCGCAAACUGGCUUAUCGCGUUAUUAAGUAAAUUUUUAAUGAGGAAAGUCCGGGCAGCAAAGAGCAACAUACUUCCUAACGGGAAGGGGCUUAUUAAAUAUGCAAUAAGUUACAGAUAGUGCCACAGAGAAUAGACUGCCUAUGUUGAGUUUUCUCAACAGGCGAGCGUGAAACGGUGAGGUAAGAGCUCACCAGUGCAAUUGGUGACAAUUGCAGCUAGGUAAACCUUAUGUGCUGAAAAACCAAAUAUACCAGGGCUUGAAGAUUGCUCGUUUGAUCCUGGAGGGUAGGUUGCUUGAGGUUAUCAGUAAUGGUAAUCCUAGAUAAAUGAUAAGCAUUUCGAAAGAAAAACAGAACCCGGCUUAUAGGUUUGUGUAAAAU
rnacentral:RNase_P_RNA from 1 species